rnacentral:tRNA from 1 species
GGGACGGUAGCUCAGUUUGGUUAGAGCGCUACGUUGACAUCGUAGAGGUCGUGAGUUCAAGUCUCUCUCGUCCCACAA